rnacentral:rRNA from 1 species
AGUGAACGCUGGCGGCGUGCCUAAUACAUGCAAGUCGAACGAAGUGGGCCACGGGUGAGUAAUAUAUAGUUAAUCUGCCCUCCCCAGGGGAACAACAGUUGGAAACGGCGGCUAAUACCCAAAAGUGUAGGAUGAGACUAUAUCGUAUCAGCUAGUUGUUAAGGUAAUGGCUUACCAAGGCUAUGACGCUUAACUGGUCUGAGAGGAUGAUCAGUCACAUUGGAACUGAGACACGGUCCAAACUCCUACGGGAGGCAGCAGUAAGGAAUAUUGCGCAAUGGGGGAAACCCUGACGCAGCAACGCCGCGUGGAGGAUGACACUUUUCGGAGCGUAAACUCCUUUUAUCAGGAAAGCGGUACCUGAUGAAUAAGCACCGGCUAACUCCGUGCCAGCAGCCGCGGUAAUAC